GAUGAACGCUGGCGGCGUGCCUAAUACAUGCAAGUCGAGCGAACAGAUGAGGAGCUUGCUCCUCUGACGUUAGCGGCGGACGGGUGAGUAACACGUGGAUAACCUACCUAUAAGACUGGGAUAACUUCGGGACACCGGAGCUAAUACCGGAUAAUCUAUUGAACCGCAUGGUUCAAUAGUGAAAGACGGUUUUGCUGUCACUUAUAGAUGGAUCCGCGCCGCAUUAGCUAGUUGGUAAGGUAACGGCUUACCAAGGCAACGAUGCGUAGCCGACCUGAGAGGGUAAUCGGCCACACUGGAACUGAGACACGGUCCAGACUCCUACGGGAGGCAGCAGUAGGGAAUCGUCCGCAAUGGGCGAAAGCCUGACGGAGCAACGCCGCGUGAGUGAUGAAGGUCUUCGGAUCGUAAAACUCUGUUAUUAGGGAAGAACAAAUGUGUAAGUAACUAUGCACGUCUUGACGGUACUUAAUCAGAAAGCCACGGCUAACUACGUG
rnacentral:rRNA from 1 species